CAAGCGCAUAACGGAUUGCACCAUGGUUUCGGCCCAUGUUCUGGAGACCCUCCACCCUCCCUUGC
rnacentral:tRNA from 1 species